CUUCUAGGAGGAUUGACGAUCUUGCUCCAUCUUAGGGAAGAGACGACUGACUCAGGCAGACUGUGUCAAGAGCUCCACCUCAGCACACAGGGCCAAGGGAAAGAUUAAAAAAAACAAAAAAAAAACAGAGUGCUGUGUUCGUCAUCAUCACCAUCCACUACAACCUGACCACAGGCCACGGCACGUUUUAUACAGUUGGGCUGAUUUCAAGUCCCAGCUGAAGAUCAAGAAGUCUGCGCAGUAGAGAGCUUCGAGGGAGACAGGGGGAGGGACAUUUCCUGAGAGUGUUGAAUUUACGGAUUUGGAGGAGCAAGCCUUGGUCCGUGUGGCGUAUGUGGAGGUGGAAGGUGUGAUGGAAAUGGACACCGCCAUGCCUGCCCUUGAAUGUCCACAUGCCUUGGCAGCACAGGAGAUGCAGCUCGCUGAGGCUGAGGAGGGUGCGAGCAACGACAGCUCCAGUGUGGGGCCGGAAAGCCCUCCAUCCCGGCAACACACUGAGGCACUCCCCCAACCCAGUCUCCAGGAGCUUCUGGGCCAAAUUGUGAGGCAAGGGAGAAACACCACCGACUGCCAUGAUCAAAUGCUCCUGGAGGUCCGUGAGCUGACCUCCACGGUCCGUGAGCGGUCCUCCACUGUGCAACAAGGCAUGUGUGACAUCUCCGCCUCUGUUGCGGAAGCCAUGCGUGACAUAUCCGCCACUAUUGGCCAAGGCAUGCAGACCAUCACAGCCCUCCUUGGCUAGACUCUCAGGGAGGCUACAACACCUGCCCCAUCCCAGAGCCCUGCCCAGGAACAAGAUCGUACUGGGCAGGCCCCUUGCAGACCCACGCGCAGACCCAACACAGAAGAACAACCCCUUCAGCCAGGCAAAAAAAGGAGAAAAUGGUGAUUUCUCUCUAGAUGCGGUCCUUGUUUCCAGCGUCCAUGUUCUGUUUCCAAAAAUGUUUUUGUCAAUGGCUUGUGGGACAAGAAUGUCCAACUCCCUCCUGCCAAAUGGGGGUUGGUGUCUUCUCUUUUCUUUCCCUGCCUGUGAUGCAUUAACCUGUAAAGUUGUCCCACCUUCCUCUUCAGUUUGUGGGGCUGAUUGUUGUGUUUGACUAUUGGGCCCAGAAUCUUCCUCAUUUUGCCCAACAUCUUCCUCAGCCAGGUUACUGAAACCAGUCUCUUGUUGUGUUUGUUGCAGAGUAACUGACUACUGGGUUCUGUAAUCUUCUUUUCUGCACAGCCAGCCUUGUUGCUGUGCCAUUUGGUGUAGUCUUUAUUUUAUUUUUCUUUGUCUUUGUGUUAUG